UACGUAGGGUGCAAGCGUUAAUCGGAAUUACUGGGCGUAAAGCGUGCGCAGGCGGUUGUGCAAGACAGAUGUGAAAUCCCCGGGCUCAACCUGGGAAUUGCAUUUGUGACUGCACGGCUAGAGUGUGUCAGAGGGGGGUAGAAUUCCACGUGUAGCAGUGAAAUGCGUAGAUAUGUGGAGGAAUACCGAUGGCGAAGGCAGCCCCCUGGGAUAACACUGACGCUCAUGCACGAAAGCGUGGGGAGCAAACAGU
rnacentral:rRNA from 1 species